UAGAGUUUGAUCCUGGCUCAGGAUGAACGCUGGCGGCGUGCCUAAUACAUGCAAGUCGAGCGAACAGAUGAGAAGCUUGCUUCUCUGAUGUUAGCGGCGGACGGGUGAGUAACACGUGGGUAACCUACCUAUAAGACUGGGAUAACUCCGGGAAACCGGGGCUAAUACCUGAUAAUAUUUUGAACCGCAUGGUUCAAUAGUGAAAGACGGCUUCGGCUGUCACUUAUAGAUGGACCCGCGCCGUAUUAGCUAGUUGGUAAGGUAAUGGCUUACCAAGGCAACGAUACGUAGCCGACCUGAGAGGGUGAUCGGCCACACUGGAACUGAGACACGGUCCAGACUCCUACGGGAGGCAGCAGUAGGGAAUCUUCCGCAAUGGGCGAAAGCCUGACGGAGCAACGCCGCGUGAGUGAUGAAGGUCUUAGGAUCGUAAAACUCUGUUGUUAGGGAAGAACAAAUUUGUUAGUAACUGAACAAGUCCUUGNACGGUACCUAACCAGAAAGCCACGGCUAACNAAC
rnacentral:rRNA from 2 species